AUUAUGCACUGCUAUUAAACCUAUCUAUGAUUAUACUACAGGGUUACUCCAUGAGAGAAAAAUACUGACUUGUUAAAGACCUUUUGACUCGCUCCUUAUCAACUCCUAAGGCCGUAGAUAGGACACCAAAGUAAUCUUACUUURGAAAUUACAUCGAUCACAGAAGGUCUCCCACAGAAGCGUGUGACGGAGUGCGAGUUUUACAAAGAUCACAACACUCAAAAGGACACCGACGAAGUAAGCUCGUUAUCUCUUAGAUAAUAUGUUACACUCAACAGAGUUAAAGACCUUUUGACUCGCUCCUUAUCAACUCCUAAGGCCGUAGAUAGGACACCAAAGUAAUCUUACUUUAGAAAUUACAUCGAUCACAGAAGGUCUCCCACAGAAGCGUGUGACGGAGUGCGAGUUUUACAAAGAUCACAACACUCAAAAGGACACCGACGAAGUAAGCUCGUUAUCUCUUAGAUAUGUUACACUCAACAGAACGCGUCCUUCUGAAGCGUGUGAAGAAGUGCGGAGUGGCAGGAGAUUUACAAAGAUCACAACACUCAAAAGAACACCAAAAACGCGUCCUUCGGAAGCGUGAGGAAUGUGGAGUAGCCGGAAUUUAACGAAGAUCACGACACUCAAAAGGACAAUCAGACCAAUCAGAUCAUAUUAACUAUGAUCAGACUCACCUGCUAACUUAGCAGGUGAGUCUGGGUACGAGCCAUUAAUCUAUGAAAACGUCAUUCAAAUCCCAAAGAAAAGACCAAGGCAUUUUACGACUGGGCUGCAUUAUUUUUUUCACCUCGCGUUUUUGUUGAGGCCCGCCAGUUUUCACUUCUACAAUGCAAGCAUUAGACGAACAUGUGACAUGCGCAGAGUUAAUGAGUAUAGCUAACGGUUAGACGAGGAUUGACUUGUUGGUGAAUCCUAUGAAUGCGAUUGGAUGAGCGGUGAUUUCGACCGCUGUGAUUGGAUGUUGUCAUUUGGGUACCGUGACGAAACAUGUGCUGAUACCGCUUAAAAAAUGAAAUGCAUAAUUUUAGGAAACCUGUCACUGCUAGCAAAGUCUCCUUUUCGGUUUUUUUUUUUUUUGCUACUCCGUCUUGAAACUCUUCCUUGCCCGCGGUUCCUUGACGGUACUUAUUCGAAUUUUCGCCAUAUUGGGGAGCCAACAAGCCAAUGAAACUCUGUUAUAAGUUUAGAAGUAGUGGGGAAUUUUUAUGGUGGCGAACUCGCCUAAACUCAAGUCUUCUUGUUCCAAACACCGAUUCUUCCUCGAAGGCCGUCCGCCACUGAUUUUGUUUUUGUAGUUUCAAAAACUAGUCUGUUGGUCUCCCUGUGUCAUGGUGAGAAACGACCAAUAAUCGGUAGUUUUAUUCCCCACGUUCACCAUGGGCAAAGACCGGAUUUGACCCCCGUUCCAUGCCUCCUUCAGCAACGUGAUAUUUAUCAACCUGUUAAAAAGAUGCAAGGUGUUUUUAAGCUAGUGUUUAACUUUAUUUAAAGGUAGAAAAAACUCGUGACUUUCGCGUGUCGAAUCAAACAGCUGUUCAUAGCAUUUGUGGUCGUGCACAAAUAAAUACACCUUGAGAGGUACUGGGACAAAGCGUGAAUUCGAAAGUCGAUGACGUGUCUUUCUGCAAAUAAAACCGCUGAAUGGAAACAAGAGAUGGGAGAAAGAUGACAGAAUUAAAGAAAGAUCAUAAAGACAGGAAUAACUUACUGGCAUUGUUGGACAAUGUUAAGUCGAACUGUGACACUCCCAGAUGUUGCCGUCUGAAAGUAGAACUUGCUGAGAACUUUCUCCUAAAGAAUUAAAAUGACAUCACUUUCAGAGGGACAAAAGAACCAAUCCUCAUAUGCAGUGGGAUUCAAAUUGGCUUUCUGCAAAGGGUUUCAUUAUCCACUGAAAUCUAAUUGGAAUUUAAAAAACUGAUUUUUGCAAAAAAAAGAAAACUGGAGAACCAGCAGAAAAAUCCUCAAAGAACAGGAGAAAACCAACAUGCAACUCUAGCAUCUUAACUCGAUCACAUACAACACAAAGUAUGGUCAGGUCAUUGGUGAGACUGGCAAGCACUCUCGGCACUACAUCACCCACAGUAUAUUCCUUCAACUCAUACUCCAGUAAAUAAGGUUCCACAUGAAACAUACCUCAGUGGCAACAGGUUGCUGUGGAUAYGUUGGAUCUUCAAGCUCUGGGGACCCCCCAAUGAAGAAUCGCUUUAGUUCUGGGAUGGUGCCGUUACCCAAAGGACGCCAGGAAGUCACAUUCAACUCACCAGGCUGAUUGGGGAUAGCUAUAUAUCCAUAGCCUUCAGUGCGAUGUCUCUCCCAGCUGUCUAGYGACAAGACCUCCACAAACAAAAAUGGCCAGUGGAUAAAAUCAUCUGAGACAGAAUAUGGUCAAGAUUAAGACGCCGCUUACAUGAAGCAUGAGCUGAAAUUCUAGUUCUAUAUCAUAUUGUGUGCUCUUGACUUGCUCUUCUGAGCUGGGGUCCCUGUGGUGAAGUACCUGAGUUUUCCUGCUCCUGGUAGAUCAGUGAGAAGUCAAAGGGGAAGCUAAAGUGAGCAACAUCAUUCUGUAGACCAAAGAAAAGCAUUUAGGUGUUUUAAAACAUGUUGUACACUCAAUGUACUGUUGCUGGCGAGAAUCGUUUGACCAAUCAAAUGAUGGUAAAGUGAAAGGGCUACCCUUUGACAGGCUUGGAACGCAAUAUUCACCCUUUUUUCCCACCCUUUUUGACUGGCUAACCAACUAGCCAACCGUCAGGUGAACAGACAGACAGAUAAAUGAACAGACAGAUUUGCCUAGUAUUUUGUUUUUACGAGGGGUAGCACUGAAUAGACAGAGGCUAACAAACAUUUGGCCCUCGUUCCAUAAACGAAUUGGAAUUUAGGAAUUGAGUAUCAUACUCACUGGUCCA